GUUAGAUUUAUAACCUUUUGCGGGAAAUCGUCUACCAAUCUAACACGAAAAUAAACAGUUUUCAGAUGAAAAGCUGAUGUACUGGAGACAGAUUGGUCAGCCAGUGAAAGAUGUUCUGUUGGUAUUGAGAAUAAAUGGAAUUCUAGCCAGACACAGGACAUCUACUUACCUGUCCAUGUGGAAGUGAGUGUAGUUGUUAUAGUUUCUGUUGAGCAGCAGAAUUAAUAAUUGAACUUAAAUCAGAUCCUAGAAAUCUACUGACAAGAUCCAGUGUCUAGGUGACAUUGACUGGUUGGAAUAGUAGUCUAGUGAGUAGUGGUAACAGAACUAAAUCAAGACACUAGACAUGUACGGACCUCCAUCAUGUCUUGGUGGAAGUGACUGCGGCUGGAAUAGUUGUCAAGUGAGCAGCAGGAAUUGAACUCAAGUCAGCAACUGGACCUGUACUUACCUCCAACUUGUUGAGGUGGAAGUGACUGCGGCUGGGAUAGUUGUCAAGUCAAGAAUUACCAGCCAAGUCUUGGCAGCCAGUGCAGUAAAGUGACUCCAAUUAAUGAGCUGACUGACAUGCAGUCCACAGACCUACAGGGACUGUCAGUGGAGCUGGAAA